AGCUCCCGGAGAACUGGACCGAUACCCGCGAGACACUGCUGGAGGGGAUGCUCUUCAGGCUCAAGUACAUGGGCAUGACGCUGGUGGAGCAACCCAAGGGAGAGGAGCUCUCCGCUGCUGCUGUCAAAAGGAUCGUAGCCACGGCUAAAGCAAGUGGAAAGAAGCUGCAGAAAGUUACUCUGAAAGUCUCUCCCAGAGGGAUCGUGUUAAAUGAUAGCGGAACCAACGAGCUGAUAGAAAACAUCUCCAUAUACAGGAUAUCCUACUGCACGGCAGACAAGAUCCACGAUAAAGUGUUUGCCUACAUUGCCCAGAACCAGCUCAAUGAGAACCUGGAGUGCCAUGCCUUCCUCUGUACCAAGCGGAAAAUGGCCCAAGCAGUCACCCUAACAGUAGCUCAGGCGUUCAAAAUAGCAUUUGAAUUCUGGCAAGCAUCCAAGGAAGAGAAAGAGAAGCGAGAAAGGUCCGUCUUGGAAGGAGAAGGUGCGAGCGGCCCAAACUCUGAAGCUCCUGCCUGCCCCGAAGCAUCAGUGGCCACAGGGAACCUGCUGGAUUUAGAAGAUCCUGCCAAAUUGCCCCUGACCGUCAGUGCAAACUCCACGCAUUUAGAUAACAGCGUGUUUGGCCCCAGCUCCGCUGUAAAUAACAACGUAGUGUGGGAAAUGGACGAUGGUCUCGACGAGGCAUUUUCAAGGUAAUUCUAAUAACUCUCUUUACAAGUUCAUGCCAAUGGGGACCAGCCCAAGAGACUUGACUAGUGACUGGUUUUUAAUAAUGCUUCUAAUCUAAUCAGCCACCGUGAUCUGACCUAGGCAGCCGCCCCAUCGGUGCCUCAGCUGCUAAUUGAAAGAUAGGCUUUGAGGCUGGCUGAUAAGUCAAAUAUUUUGACAACCUUUUAAGGAUCGAGAGAGGUUGUAUGUGAUAGGGAAUUUAAUUCCCCAAGCAGCCUGUGUGUCUGCUCCUGCUUGAAUGGAUGGUUUGAGGCUGCCUGUUUCCAGCCCCUGUACUAGCAGCAGGGACGCUGGGCCCAGCUUCCUGUGCUGGGGACUUUACCCUUCCUCGCUCCUCCCUGAGGUUUGGACUAACUGAGUUGGGGAGGUAGCAAGGGCUUAACCCAGCCCCGUCACUUUAGUGUGGACAGCUGACCUUAGUCAGAGUUUAAAACAGAGCAAAAAACUGCAUGCUCAGCUCAAAGGAAAUGAACCCUCAUGUCUUGUUUGGGUCUUGGGAAUGAUUUACAGCUUCCACUUCCAUGGUAGCCCUGUCCCAAGUCACGUUUGAUAAAAGGCCUGCUUGAAUUUAUGUCUUAAUGUCAUCUAUUUUCCUCACCUCUCUUCCUUGCCCUACUUAAUUAAGCAGAUAUUGUUGGUCGUGGUCUUUUGUUUUGCAUUGCUGGACGCCAAACUGUUGGUUCACCCUUGGCCUUUUGGUGACUCAGUAUUUGGACUGCACAUCCGCCAAGGAGGAUGCAUUCAAAAGUGUUCUUGAUGGAAUAUCAUUGCUGGUCAUUUUUCUUUUUGUGCAGCUAGUUUAAUCUGAGGCUUAUUCUACAUCAUGCCUCCGCUGUAUGAAACACCAAAUAUUUGUGUUAACCUUUGGGCCUGGGAGAAUUGAUGCUACAAUGCUGAAUUUUCACACAGACUUGCUCAGUCGAGGACAAACCCUCAUGUUCUUGACACAGGACUGACGGCUCAAGACAUCCAGAGUGCAGAAACGCUCUCACCU